AAGCAGGAGUGUUUGCAACUCUGCCUAACUGCUGAGUCGGGACUUAGGGGAUGAAAUAGAACGCAGAGAGUCUCUCUUUUCUACAAAGGCAGCUUGGAAAACUUGUUCUCUUUAACUUGGAGUAGACAGAGCCAGCCACUACCCUGUGACCUCCUGGUUAGAAUGCUUGGCUUUUGCCUUCUCCCAUCUGGACGCACCAGAGGAGAUGGGACUGGGAGAACAAAGCUUUGGGGUGACCAAGGAUCUGGCCCCCAGCUCAACCAACCCCGGGCUCACUGAGACCUGGGAGCGGGGACCUGGGAGCGGGGGUGCGAAGCGAUUCGAGAUCUGUUUCUUUCUGGUCUUGUCUGGGCUCCGGGUCCCACACUCUUCCAGCUUCACUGCCCCAACUUUGUGGCUGCUGCGGACUCGGGUGAAGUUCACACACACACACACACACACACACACCCCGGAAUGUCCAUCUCUUCUUGAAUAUUAAUAAAGAUUUCAAAGCUGGCGGUUGUAAAAUUAAAUUGCUAAUGAAGAUG